UGAAAUCUCAAAGGAGUGUCAUGAGAACACAAAUCCUAUGGUUUCUUUACAUUUUUAUUGAAACCAUUGAUUUUUUGUGUUCUCAGGUCACCCCUUUGAAUCUCCC
rnacentral:pre_miRNA from 1 species